GGGCGGAGCUCGCCCACGUCCGGUUUCGGAUGAUAGUGUGGUAUCGAAAAUUUGCGGAGCAGGCUGAAAUAAGUCCUGAAGAAAAAAGUUGUAAGGUGUCAUCUGGUUGAGAAUCUCGGUGCCUUAAUCUGUGGGGUCUCUGAAAGCUCAUAAACAAAGAUAAGGCAGCGGCUCAAGAUCCUUGCGGACACAAAUGAGAUCAUGUAUGCGAGACUAUUUUAAUUCUUAAAGACCAUACAAGUUUUCUUUAUCAUCAUCCGCACUAUUAGGGUCCCUAUGGAAAAACUUAGGAUCCUUGAAAAUGAAAAUGACCUCGAGUAGGGUGUGGUCAAAGUGUCACCAGUAAACUGGGAAGCAAAUGGGAAAUCUGGGAGUGGCCUGUUAUGUCAGUGUAGUGGGCACCAACUUCCCUUUGUGCAUGCUGAAUAGCCUUUUAAAAAUAUCGAUCUUUAAUGAAAACCAUAGAUAAUAUAAUCCACCUACACACAAUU